CCCUUAGAUGUUCUGUGCCACACGCGCGUUACACUGAUGAAGCCAGCGAGUAUAUCGCCUUCACCGGAAGGUGCGGGUAAUCUUGUGAAACUUCAUCGUGCUGGGGAUAGACCAUUGCAAUUAUUGGUCUUGAACGAGGAAUUCCUAGUAAGCAUGAGUCAUCAACUCGUGCUGAUUACGUCCCUGCCCUUUGUACACGCCGCCCGUCGCUACUACCGAUUGAAUGGUUUAGUGAGAUCUCGGGAUUGGAGACGUUGCGCCGCAAGGCACAUCGUCCUCGAGAACUUGAUCAAACUUGAUCAUUUAGAGGAAGUAAAAGUCGUAACA
rnacentral:rRNA from 1 species